GACAACUGGAACAGAUAACUUAACACAAAACCUUCCUUCAGUCAUCUAUUUUCAUCUAGAAAAACCCUUUGGACAUUGUCAAGUAACAUUUUAUAGGCUCAUUCUUCAUCUCCUCUCAGAGACCUAAAUGUAAAAGUUUCACCUCCUUCCCCAGCAAAUUCUGUCCUCUCCCUAUUUAAGAAAUAGGGAUUUUUCCAUUGAGUAAUUAAAAGGUUAAUUGGCCAGCACCAGCCUGUGUCUCAUUGGUAUUAUCCGUGCCAACCCCAGCUCCAGAAGUUAUCAGGUGCAGCACCACCACCGGAGGAAGCACAAUAUUUUAAGGAAACUGAGGCGAUUUCCCUCAGUUAGAGUGUACCCUAAAUGAAGGAAGUUGCAUUCUUGGCUGAGCUCCCUAUGCCUGUAGGGUCAAACAUGUUGUCCAGGGUAUCUCUCGUCAAUUUACUCCCCCUUUCCCCCCUCCCGUGAAAGGUCCUUAUGCAUGAGAUGAUUCAAUUCAAAAUCCUCUGCAAGGACACCGGGUGACCCUUCGUCCGAUCCACUGUAGCAACUGAAGAGUUAGGUCGAUAUUUGGAAAGGCUUGGUACGUUCUAAGUAGAAAGCCAAAGCUCUCCAGAUGAGCAGGGUAUGAAGAUGCCUCUCCUCACUGGUCUUGUGCGGUUUGGGACAGGAUAAGGAAGAUGUCCUGGUCAUAUGGAACGUGGAGACCACCUUUGGCAGGAAGGCUGGGUGAGGCUGCAACUGAAACUUAUCUUUGUAGAACACCAUGUACAGAGGUUCUGAGAUCAAGACAUUAAUUUCAGAGACCUGUCUCGCCGAUGUCACUGCCACCAGAAACGUGACCUUCCAUGACAGGUGGAAGAGGGAGCAGGAACCCAGUGGCUCAAAGGAUGGGCUGGUGAGCCUAGAGAGGACCAAGUUAAGAUCCCACUGCAGGACAGGAGUCUGUACCUGCAGGAAGAGUGUCGACCCCUCAAGAAUCUGACUAUCAUGUCGUGGGGAAAAACACCAUCUGUCCUUAGAUCAGCAGGUGAAAAGCAGAAUGGCCACUAGAUGAACUCUAAUGGAAGAGUGUGCCAGGCCCUGGUUCCUCAAAGGGAGCAGGUAGUCCCGGGCAGCCUGUAUGGAAGAAUGCAAGGGACAGAUGCCAUGCUUGGAUGCCCAGUGGGAAAACCCUGUCCACUUGGCCAGGUAUGUCAGUCUGGUUAAGGUCUUCCUACUCCCCAGGAGGACCUGUUAGGCUCUUUCCGAACAAGUCCGUUCCUCCAGGUUCAGCCAUGCAGCAUCCACACCAAGAGGUGGAGGGGCUUGAGAUGGGAGGUAGGAGCCGGCCACAGUCCUGUGAUAGCAAAUCUGGGCGGUUGGGCAGGGGCCGCUGACAAGCCCAUAAGCGUGCCAAACCAAUGUUGGUGAGGCCACGCCAGGGCGAUCACGACAAUCUUCACUUUGUCUCUCUUGAUCUUGGCCAGGUCCUGCCGAUAAGUGGAAUCGGAUAGAACGUGUACAUCAGGCUCCCUGACCAUGAGAGGAGGAAGGCAUGGGAGAGGAGAUCUUGCUGAGAGCACAAUCAGUGGCAUUUCCUAUUCUGUCUGGUAGCGAACAAAUCCGCUUGGGGAGUUCCCCACCUUUGAAAGAUGAUGCAUGCUACCUCUGAAUGGAAUGACCACUCAUGGUAAGAGGAGAAGUCCAUGCUGAGCUGGUCUGCCAGCAUAUUCUUGACACUGGGAAGGUGGCAAGCUUCUAGGUGGAUUUUGUGGCUGAUGCAGAAGUCCCAUAGACGGACUGCCUCUUGACAGAGAGUCAACGAGCACGCUCCACCUUGCCUGUUGAUGUAGAGCAUCGAGGCUGUGUUGUCUGUCAGGACUCUUUCCACCUUGCCCAACAGGUGCGGCAGGAAGACUCUGCAUGCCAGCUGGACUGCUUGGAGCUCUGGGUAGCAGAGUCAGGCAAGUGAUGGGUUGGCCUGCCCUGGAUGGUAAGUGGGGGGUCAUGGCCCACCAAGGCCCACCCAUGGCUAUGCCCUUGGCACAGUGUCUCUUUUCUGAUUAAAAAAAAAAAAAAAAAAAAAAAAAAAAGAUGUUGCCAUCCCAGCUCUUCAUUCAUGGCCUGCCAUACCAUUUCCACACCCAGAUGUGACCCUCAGACCAAAAAGUUUGCCCAUCCCAGCUUAAAGCAUAGAGCAUGCCCUGACCCCCAACUGGGUCCCGUUCAGGACUAAUAAAAAGUUUGAGAACUACUACUAUGGGUAACUAAGAAAACUACUAACUACAUAUAACUAUUUUACAGAAUUUCAAAGUUCGCAACAGAGAAGGAAUCAAUGCUAGCUGAAGCAGCAGAGGUUCCAGCACUGUCACUGGCAGCAAAAAGGAAGUGAAGGGGUUGGGGGAGGGGAGAAGCUGGCAGCAUCCUUUAUACCAUGCCAUGUGGGCACUACUCCAGAGGGUCCCAGAGCUGAUCCCCUACUGAUGCUGCUGAGGAAAACACUUCCACCACGGGUGCAUGUGGUAAGCGCACACACCUAAUAUGGAAUGGACAUGAGCAAGCACU